AUUGAACGCUGGCGGCAGGCCUAACACAUGCAAGUCGAACGGUAACAGGAAGAAGCUUGCUUCUUUGCUGACGAGUGGCGGACGGGUGAGUAAUGUCUGGGAAACUGCCUGAUGGAGGGGGAUAACUACUGGAAACGGUAACUAAUACCGCAUAACGUCGCAAGACCAAAGAGGGGGACCUUCUGGCCUCUUGCCAUCGGAUGUGCCCAGAUGGGAUUAGCUAGUAGGUGGGGUAACGGCUCACCUAGGCGACGAUCCCUAGCUGGUCUGAGAGGAUGACCAGCCACACUGGAACUGAGACACGGUCCAGACUCCUACGGGAGGCAGCAGUGGGGAAUAUUGCACAAUGGGCGCAAGCCUGAUGCAGCCAUGCCGCGUGUAUGAAGAAGGCCUUCGGGUUGUAAAGUACUUUCAGCGGGGAGGAAGGGAGUAAAGUUAAUACCUUUGCUCAUUGACGUUACCCGCAGAAGAAGCACCGGCUAACUCCGUG
rnacentral:rRNA from 1 species